rnacentral:lncRNA from 1 species
GUCCUAUUUUAAGUUUAUCAAGUAAAAGUUUUAUUUUAUCCCAAAAUGAUUUCAGAAAUUUGCAUGUUAAAAAGUAGUGCUCAUAAUCUUCGAUGACAUCACAGAUAUUACAUAGCGGAGUUUUAGUUAUUUUCCAAGAGAAAAGUAAUUGUUUGGUUGGUAAAAUGUAGUGCAGAAAUUUCCAUCUUAACAUUUUGAAUUUAUUAUCUUGUAUAUAAUAAAAGAUAUAAUUUAGCAUUUGUUGUCUUUUGUUUUGUGUUGUUUUCCAAGAUAAAUAUGUUGUCCCAUUUUUGAAAUCCUAUUGGUUUUUCAUAAUAUCUAUUUAAGAGGGAGAUGUAAAUGUCUUUGGAGGAAAUGUUUUUAAGUGAUACCAUUUUUCCUUUUUUAUCUUUAAAUUUAUAUUCGGAGUCAGUGGCAACUUUUGUUUUUAAUGAUUCUUCUUUAGUUAGCUCUUGUAACCACUGUUUUGGUAUUGCUUUCAUUAAUUUAGAAUAUUCUGAAAACCAGUUAGCAUGACAGGAAAGUUUAUCUAAGAUCAUGUUUUGAUUAAAUUUUCCUUUAUUAUCAAUAAUGUCAUUUAAAAAAAAGAAUUUUGCUGUUUAUCCAGUUUUUGAAGAUGAGACAUUUACCGUUUAAUUUGAUAUUUUUAUUGCCCCAUAUAAGCUGCUGUCUUAUUUGUUUAUAUGAUAGAUGAUCCAAUUCCUUUUCAGAUUAUUGUAUUUAUCCAUGAUUUGAUUAUUCUUAAGUAAAAUUGUGGAAUUAGUUCUUUCAGUUUAUAGACCAAAUUAAUAUUGUUGAAAUUC